rnacentral:rRNA from 1 species
AGAGUUUGAUCCUGGCUCAGAUUGAACGCUGGCGGCAUGCCUUACACAUGCAAGUCGAACGGCAGCGCGGGAGCAAUCUUGGCGGCGAGUGGCGAACGGGUGAGUAAUACAUCGGAACGUGCCCAAUCGUGGGGGAUAACGCAGCGAAAGCUGUGCUAAUACCGCAUACGAUCUACGGAUGAAAGCAGGGGAUCGCAAGACCUUGCGCGAAUGGAGCGGCCGAUGGCAGAUUAGGUAGUUGGUGAGGUAAAGGCUCACCAAGCCUUCGAUCUGUAGCUGGUCUGAGAGGACGACCAGCCACACUGGGACUGAGACACGGCCCAGACUCCUACGGGAGGCAGCAGUGGGGAAUUUUGGACAAUGGGCGAAAGCCUGAUCCAGCCAUGCCGCGUGCAGGAUGAAGGCCUUCGGGUUGUAAACUGCUUUUGUACGGAACGAAACGGCCUUUUCUAAUAAAGAGGGCUAAUGACGGUACCGUAAGAAUAAGCACCGGCUAACUACGUGCCAGCAGCCGCGGUAAUACGUAGGGUGCAAGCGUUAAUCGGAAUUACUGGGCGUAAAGCGUGCGCAGGCGGUUAUGUAAGACAGUUGUGAAAUCCCCGGGCUCAACCUGGGAACUGCAUCUGUGACUGCAUAGCUAGAGUACGGUAGAGGGGGAUGGAAUUCCGCGUGUAGCAGUGAAAUGCGUAGAUAUGCGGAGGAACACCGAUGGCGAAGGCAAUCCCCUGGACCUGUACUGACGCUCAUGCACGAAAGCGUGGGGAGCAAACAGGAUUAGAUACCCUGGUAGUCCACGCCCUAAACGAUGUCAACUGGUUGUUGGGUCUUCACUGACUCAGUAACGAAGCUAACGCGUGAAGUUGACCGCCUGGGGAGUACGGCCGCAAGGUUGAAACUCAGAGGAAUUGACGGGGACCCGCACAAGCGGUGGAUGAUGUGGUUUAAUUCGAUGCAACGCGAAAAACCUUACCCACCUUUGACAUGUACGGAAUUCGCCAGAGAUGGCUUAGUGCUCGAAAGAGAACCGUAACACAGGUGCUGCAUGGCUGUCGUCAGCUCGUGUCGUGAGAUGUUGGGUUAAGUCCCGCAACGAGCGCAACCCUUGUCAUUAGUUGCUACAUUCAGUUGGGCACUCUAAUGAGACUGCCGGUGACAAACCGGAGGAAGGUGGGGAUGACGUCAAGUCCUCAUGGCCCUUAUAGGUGGGGCUACACACGUCAUACAAUGGCUGGUACAAAGGGUUGCCAACCCGCGAGGGGGAGCUAAUCCCAUAAAACCAGUCGUAGUCCGGAUCGCAGUCUGCAACUCGACUGCGUGAAGUCGGAAUCGCUAGUAAUCGUGGAUCAGAAUGUCACGGUGAAUACGUUCCCGGGUCUUGUACACACCGCCCGUCACACCAUGGGAGCGGGUUCUGCCAGAAGUAGUUAGCUUAACCGCAAGGAGGGCGAUUACCACGGCAGGGUUCGUGACUGGGGUGAAGUCGGAACAAGGUAGCCGUAUCGGAAGGUGCGGCUG